rnacentral:misc_RNA from 1 species
UGGUUCUGGCAUCGAUGAAGAACGCAGCGAAAUGCGAUAAGUAAUGUGAAUUGCAGAAUUCAGUGAAUCAUCGAAUCUUUGAACGCACAUUGCGCCCAGCGGUAUUCCGCCGGGCAUGCCUGUUCGAGCGUCUCUAUCAACCAUCACGCCCCGGCGUGGAAUUGGGGUCUGCGGUUUUGGCUGCAACCCUAAAUAUCAUAAGCGAUACUUUCCGGUUCUAAGCGUAGUACAUACCCCGCUACAGGACUUGGUUGGACUUCUGCUGUAAAUGGUGUAAGCCCUCUCUAAGGUUGACCUCGAAUCAAGCAGGGAUACCCGCUGA